rnacentral:misc_RNA from 1 species
ACUGCGAUUUUACACCUGAAUCCAAAAGGCAGACAUGAUCAACAAGAAACAACAGCAGAAUUACUCAAAUAUCUAUCGGAAUAGACUCAAAUCAACCAGGUGAAAUAAACACGAGUAGCCAAAGACAAACAAACAAACAAACAACAUAAUAAUCGACCUUAAGGAAAACCCAAGAAAAUCUCCAGCAAAAACAGAGACCCAGAUCAACCAUUUGAAGGAAAAAGCAAUUAGAACCA